rnacentral:sRNA from 1 species
AAUCCACAAAAUAUUUUGAAAACUAACAUGGUUUAAAGGCGCAAUUGCAAAAAAGCUCUUUUUAGUGCCCUUUUUCAAGAAUAAUUCAUCUUAUGGAUUAAGGCGUAGAGUCUAGGGAUAUUUUAAGGAAAUAGAUAAAUUGUAGAUCUAGCUAUGAUUAGGAUUGUUAACACACCGUUCUAAAACUCAAAUCACUAAUGUAAAGUCAACUAACUCUCGUUGUAUCAACUAGCUAUGCCU